CAUCAACCGUCUUUUUUUACAUGACCACGGAAUCAAAAACAUAAACAACAGCAAAUGAGUGGCGUGUUACGAUCGAAAACACAGGGUAACUAGGCUUGGAGGUUUGGAGAGGGAAAGAGAAGAGCAAAUGAUUGGGAGUAGGAGAAGGGAGUGCUGCUUUUGUUAUUUCACAGUCGUCAUGAGCAAGAGGAAGCAAGAGGGUUGCAGAGACAUUCGGCAAUGUUUUGCCUCGUCUCAGAAAAGAAGCAAAGUAACUAAAGAGGGAGCUAGUGAGCCAGCGGGAGAGACAGAAAGUUUGGAGGAUGAAAGCACAGGGAGAGUUUGUCAAUCUAGUGGUGGCAUAUAGGUGAGUCGCCUAAGAGAGGAGUAAAUAUGAAAGGUUAAGACCGAAUCAUGUCAUUCACGCAGAAUCCUGUUAACACACAUGUAUAUAGUGUAGGGUUGUCAAAAAAGAUUAUACUCGGAUACUAAUCGAUCAAAAUUAAAAAAAAUAAUAUCGGAUUAGAUACUUAUGUGCAACAUUAUCGAUACUAAAAUCGCUGUCUUCAUCAUCUUCAUCUCUUUUUUUCUCGCCUCCUUCAG
ensembl:lncRNA